rnacentral:lncRNA from 1 species
UACUUUAGAUGCUUGAUUUAUUGUUGUUAUGAUGAUUUUAAGUGUUAGAGUUGUAGUCCUACAUGUUGUCUACACACUGGGAUUGAUAGAUCACGUAAACGUUACACGAUCGUCAAGUUAUAGAGGUCCAAAGUAGGCAUCACGAACUGUUCUUCACGAAGAACAGCUCUGACAGCUACUUUGAGGUACGAUUUCUCUCAGAUAUGAUGUUGUUUUGAGGUAAUGAUUGUUGGUAAUUGUAGUCUGGUAUUUCCUCUACAAGACCCAAUUCAUAGAUUGCCCAGAUUCAUUAAGACCAAAAAGUUAUUCAUGGUCAAAGUAGCCCCCCUUGAACUGUCUCUGACAGUGUUCUUGAGAUGAAGAACACCUAUAGCGACGGUUGUCUGUCGCUAUAGCCUUUAGCGACGGAUUUUAUUUAUUUUAUUUUCUGUAAUUUCCGAAAAUGAUUUAAAAAUUAGAAAAAUUAGAUUUUAAUUAUUAAAAAUACUUAUUAAAUUCUAAAAAAUUAUUUUA